rnacentral:rRNA from 1 species
UACGGAGGGUGCGAGCGUUGCUCGGAAUCACUGGGCGUAAAGCGUACGCAGGCUGUCUCGUAAGUCGGGUGUGAAAGCCCGGGGCUCAACCCUGGGAUGCCGGUCGAUACUGCCGGACUAGAGUUCGGAAGAGGCGAGUGGAAUUCCCGGUGUAGCGGUGAAAUGCGCAGAUAUCGGGAGGAACACCAAUGGCGAAGGCAGCUCGCUGGGACGGUACUGACGCUGAGGCGCGAAAGCGUGGGGAGCAAACAGG